AUCAAUAAUCCCUCUUUCAUCCAGUUUAACCAUAACUAUAUUUGAAUAGAAGAGGACACAUUUUGAUAUUUGGAAACAUUUUAAAAUUUCCAUAUCCUAUAUUGCUUUGCAUUGUUUUUCUCCUUGGAAAUCUGUCGUACAAAGUGUAUGUUAGAUUUUGAAUCAUCAUGUUUCGUACAAUGAAUUUUAAAUUCUAGAUUUAUAAUUGUAUGUUGUAUGACGACUUGCACAGACACAUGUACAUGCAUCUCUAAGCUUUAGCAAAACUUCUGAUGCAGGGGGGGCUAAGGAAUCUCAUAUUGACCAUUUUUAUGUGGAAAAUUGAUUACUCCUAUUGACUUUUCUUUGUUGCCUCUGCUAAAGAAUCUAGUAUAUAUUCUGUGGACUGUGCAUUACAUUUUUAUUUGUCAUUGUGUUCCUUAUGCGCAUGUUUUGAUGCAGGCGUGUGUUUGAACUUAACUUGAAUACUGGACUGUUUGGAAUGACUUCUUAAUCACUUUGAAAAUCAUUCUAAACAUUGACUACUUAUUUUCUUUAGGAGCUUAUGUAAUAGAAAUUGGCGAGUCUUAUAUGAUGGCUAACAGAUAGAUAGUAACUCAUUGGCCUAUACUUUUACAAGGAUUCGCUUCGAGGCUGUUUAUAGGAGUGCUUUCCGCACGGUCGCAAUCACUUCCCAGAUCCCACCCAAACGAGUCGUAUUUGGAAGUAACUUGAUAGUGGAGAAAAAGCACGUUAGGGAUGCUUUUGGCCCAAACACUUACCCAAAAAAUACCAAUAUACAUUUUCUUUUUUUAAAAGAUUGAAUACUUUUUAUUUAAGUGCUUAUGUCAGCACUCCUAAAUGCAUCUUUACUAUCUCUCCUUGGUAUGAAUUGCUUUAUCCUGCAUUUUGUCAUCCUAUCUUACUAUGGCAACGGCAUUAGUUUUGAAGUUUCAACUUUUGCCUUUUGUUUAAUCAAAUAGGCCUUGGAAUCCUUCAAUAAGUCUACUUAAGGAGAAUAGAAAGAGCCAGCUAGUUAUGAACUUUCAAUUUUUGGCUAAGUAGUUGCUCAUCCUUUUGCCUGUUGUUUAAUCAACAGUUCUAGGGAUCCUUUAACGACUCUAAUUCAAUUCUAUUUUGCUGCUAAAUUAUUUUAAGUUCUAGCUGUUUGUGCCGCCAUAUAUAAGUGGAGUGUGCUUGCAAACGACCCCCAUUACAAGCAGAAAAUAUUCUCUUAGAUUUACUGCUUUGGUGAGGUUGAUUUUUCCAUGAAUGACUUUCUGUACUUUCCCCAUAAGACAAUGUCCUACCAUUUUCGAAAAUGCUUUGCAAAGCACAUAUAGCAUGUGUGAUUUUCAAGUUCUGCACUCUGGUGGAGUAGGCCCUAACACUAUAGUGGUAAAGAAAAGAUGUGCUGUUGAAUCCCCUGACUUUUAUCCACCUCACUUUGCCUUUGGAGGCCAAUCCUUUUGGGAGUAACGGAAAAUAUCAAUCCAUCUUUGAUUUGCUCCACAUAUUUGCACUGUGGAAGUCAUUGCUGAGUAUUUCAUACUAUUCAGUACUCGACUCGGUGUUCAAAUUGCAACCGAGCAAAAUCACCAUCGAUUGUCAUUUCAAUCCUUGUUCAAAUUCAUAGCAUAUCGACAUUGAUGAUUGGUUACACAUUUUUCUGGCUAUUGUUCAUUGUUAGGUGGUAUAUCCUCAAUUAUCUCAUUAUCUUCCCCUUCUGAUCUCCCUUUUGGUUUCUAGCAUUAAAUCAAAUCAAAGAUUUUGUUUCUGUGCUUCCUAUUGUUGUCAUUUAGGAAAAAUUAUAACCAAACAAAGGCCUUUAGAUGCUUUCUAAAGUAAAUGUCAAUAUGGGGGGUUCCAUCUUUCCGAUAUCGAAAUGAUUUUGUUGCAGCGAUUUCAAAUCUUCAGCGUACAAAGGGAUGGCUAUGGUAAAUCCAAAAGUUUGUUGCUGCCGCCUCUGCUAGCUUUUUCAAUGAAUGACUGAUGUACUAAGUCACAUGGAAUUUUUUUUCCUUCAGGUUAUAAUUUCUCUGUAGGGGCCAUUGCAACUCAGCCUUCAUUUCUUUAUGACCCCUACAUUAAAUUAUUGUACUGUUGUCUAACAUAUCACCAAAUUGUACAUUCUGUAAUCUGCUCGACAUAGAUCAAUCAACCGAUUUCGAGUUUGCACCAACAACAUAAGACCUUUCAAAUGUUUUAAGUUAGUAUAUAUCUUUUUCUUUUACAUCA